UACGUAGGGUGCAAGCGUUGUCCGGAAUUAUUGGGCGUAAAGAGCUCGUAGGCGGUCUGUCGCGUCGGCUGUGAAAACCCGGGGCUCAACCCCGGGCCUGCAGUCGAUACGGGCAGGCUAGAGUUCGGCAGGGGAGACUGGAAUUCCUGGUGUAGCGGUGAAAUGCGCAGAUAUCAGGAGGAACACCGGUGGCGAAGGCGGGUCUCUGGGCCGAUACUGACACUGAGGAGCGAAAGCGUGGGGAGCAAACAGG
rnacentral:rRNA from 1 species